rnacentral:lncRNA from 1 species
GUAGAUGGACAAUAAUACCUUUGUUUUAUGUAUGUAUGUAUGUAUGUAUGUAAAGUGUUGAGUAUCGAACCCAAUGCCUCACACAUGCUAGGCAAAGGGCUCCACUGCCAACUCAGCCCACUAUUUUUUGAGACAGUGUCUUGCUAAGAUACUGAGGCUCUUGCUAAGUUGCUGAGGCUGUCCUAGAACUUGGAAUCCUGCCUUAGCUGCAGAGUCCCUGGGAUUAUAGGUGUGUAUCACCAGGCCUCAUGCUAUGCAUGUGUUCUAAGGGUUGGGAAUUCAAGAGUUUCUGAUUUGACCUCUGAAUACUGAAGUGAAGAUGUUGGCAGCCUUUUAAGCUCAGGGGAGGAUUGUUCUUGGAAAGCCCCAAAAGAGGUAAUAUUACCAAGUUUAGGCUCUAUGGUUGACCAUGUGCAAAGUGAGCUGCCUGGGUUAUUGGCAUCUUUCUUGUUUGUUUCCGUGCUAAGGAUCAAACCCAGUGCCUCACACAUGAUAGGCAACUGCUCUGCCAUUGAGCUACAGCCCUAGUCCUGGCAUCUUGUAUUUUUAAUUGCUUUUUAUCCUUCUGCUACUUGGACCAGAAAACAAGAGGUGGUUAUUCUUUGAAAUUUUGGUUUGGUGGCAGAUUUGUCUAGUCAGGCUAGGAAGCAAUCACAUCUGAAGAAAUGAGAAGUCAGAUUUCUCACAAGGCCCUUUUCUUUCUUAACCAGUUGUUUUAAAGGAUUCCCAGGCUUGGCAGUACAUUCCUUCACUAAGUAAGGCCUUAGGAGGCACCUCUUUGAAUUUGGCUGCCAUGCAGAUGCUAGUCUGACUAUAUAACCCCUUUAGUUGCUGUGGUCCUUAAUAUUUUAUCUUUGUAGUACUGGGGAUUGAAAAAAGGGGUACACUCUACCACUGAUCUAUAUCCCCAGCCCUUUGUAAUUUUUAUUUUGAGACAGAGUCUCACUAAGUUGCCCAGAUUGGCUUUGAACUUGCAGUUCUGCCUUUGCCCCUUGAGUAGCUGGGAUUGCAAGCGCACGUCUGGCUCAUGUUUGUCACCACCCUUACUCUUUUCAGCAUACUUGCUUGGCUCUAAAGGCAUUAAAACCCAUAAGUAACUGUGUCUGAUUACCUAGGCAACUGUGUCUGAUUACCUAGGCAUCAGAAGCAAAGAUUUCUCCCACCAUUUUCUGGUUUAGUAGGUCUAGAAUAGUCUGAAAAUGUGCAUUUCUAUCAAGUACUUCCAUUCCAAUGGCAGAACCAGGGAAGGCACUGUGAGAAUCUCUAUACUUUGUCCUUUUUUUCCACUUUGCUUGCAGCUUUCUCUGUCAGGCCUCGUGUUUUCUCCACUUUCAGACCUUUGCAUAUACUCUUCUAUUUGCCUCAUACUUUCUCUUACCUUUCCCCCCACCUCUUCCUGUUCAUCUCUCAAUCUAUAUCUCUCUUUUUAUUUAUUUUUUUUGCACAAGAGAUUGAACCCAGGGUUGCUUAACCACUGGUCACAUUUCCAACCCUUUUUAUUUCUUACUUUGAGACAAGGUCUUGCUAAUUGCUGGGACUGGCCUUGAACUUGGUGAUCCUCCUGCCUUAGCCUCCUGUAAUCCUAGUGAUUAUAGAUAUGUGCCACUGUGCCCAGCCUCAGUCUAUAUCCUAAAGAUAAUUUCCUCUGAACAUUCUUCUAAUCAAACUUCAAGAUUCAACGUAAGGGCUGGGGCUGGGGCUCAAUGGUAGAGUACUUCCCUCGAAUGGGUGAGGCAUUGGGUCAGAUCCUCAGCACCACAUAAAAAUAAAUAAAGAUAUUGUGUCCAUCUACAACUAAAGACAAAAUUAAAAAAGAUUCAGCUUAAGUAACUUUUAUGUUGAUUUCACUGAGUAAGUCUGUUUUAACUUUGAAAGCUCUGCAAUAUUUAAGAGAAGCAGGUAUAAAGAACAAUUCGAUGUCUGAAUAUUUAUCUUUAGAAACCAAAUUACACUAACACAUGUAGGCAAAAACUUAUAUACCCUUCUGGGAUCACUUCUCUUUUCCUUUACCCAGGGAAGUACUAUCCAACUUUUAAAUUUUUUAAAAUUUCAUGUUGACAGAGCAUUUUACUAAAAC